CCUACGGGAGGCAGCAGUAGGGAAUCUUCCACAAUGGGCGAAAGCCUGAUGGAGCAACGCCGCGUGGGUGAAGAAGGUCUUCGGAUCGUAAAACCCUGUUGUUAGAGAAGAAAGUGCGUGAGAGUAACUGUUCACGUUUCGACGGUAUCUAACCAGAAAGCCACGGCUAACUACGUGCCAGCAGCCGCGGUAAUACGUAGGGGGCAAGCGUUAUCCGGAUUUAUUGUGCGUAACGGGAACGCAGGCGGUCUUUUCAGUCUGAUGUGAAAGCCUUCGGCUUAACCGGAGUAGUGCAUUGGAAACUGGGAGACUGGAGUGCAGAAGGGGAGAGGGGAACUCCAGGUGUAGCGGUGAAAUGCGUAGAUAUAUGGAAGAACACCAGUGGCGAAGGCGGCUCUCUGGUCUGUAACUGACGCUGAGGUUCGAAAGCGUGGGUAGCAAACAGGAUUAGAUACCCCUGUAGUC
rnacentral:rRNA from 1 species